GGAAUUUUGCGCAAUGGGGGGAACCCUGACGCAGCAACGCCGCGUGAUUGAUGAAGCCCUUCGGGGUGUAAAGAUCUGUCAGUGGGGACGAAGAAUGACGGUACCCACAGAGGAAGCAUCGGCUAACUCCGUGCCAGCAGCCGCGGUAAUACGGGGGAUGCGAGCGUUGUCCGGAAUCAUUGGGCGUAAAGAGUUCGUAGGUGGUUUGUUAAGUUAGGUGUUAAAUACCGAGGCUCAACCUCGGCAGGGCACUUGAUACUGGCAGACUUGAAUGCUGUAGAGGUAAAGGGAAUUCCUGGUGUAGCGGUGAAAUGCGUAGAUAUCAGGAGGAACAUCGGUGGCGAAAGCGCUUUACUGGGCAGUAAUUGACACUGAGGAACGAAAGCCGGGGUAGCAAAUG
rnacentral:rRNA from 1 species